UACGUAGGGGGCUAGCGUUGUCCGGAUUUAUUGGGCGUAAAGAGCGUGUAGGCGGCCAGGUAGGUCUGGUGUGAAAACUCGAGGCUUAACCUCGAGAUGUCAUCGGAAACCAUUUGGCUAGAGUCCGGAAGAGGAGAGUGGAAUUCCUGGUGUAGCGGUGAAAUGCGCAGAUAUCAGGAAGAACACCAAUGGCGAAGGCAGCUCGCUGGGACGUGACUGACGCUGAGACGCGAAAGCGUGGGGAGCAAACAGG
rnacentral:rRNA from 1 species